rnacentral:pre_miRNA from 1 species
UUUUUAGUAUAAUUAUGUCUCAUGAAAUAUUUGGGGCAUAGUUAUGCUGAAA